rnacentral:snRNA from 1 species
AUGCUCAUUUUGGCAGCACAUAUACAUACUAAAAUAGGGAUGAUACAGAAAGGAUUAGCAUGGCCCCUGUGCAAGGAUGACAAGCAAACUUGUGAAGUGUUCCAUAUUUUU